rnacentral:rRNA from 1 species
UACGGGGGGGGUAAGCGUUGUUCGGAAUUACUGGGCGUAAAGGGCUCGUAGGCGGCCAACUAAGUCAUACGUGAAAUCCCUCAGCUUAACUGGGGAACUGCGUGUGAUACUGGAUGGCCUGGAUUUGGGAGAGGGAUGCGGAAUUCCAGGUGUAGCGGUGAAAUGCGUAGAUAUCAGGAGGAACACCUGCGGUGUAGACGGCUUACUGGACCAUAACUGACGCUGAGGCACGAAAGCGUGGGUAGCAAACAGG